CUGAAAAAGGCAAGGUUGCUGCAAAGCAAUUACGCAAAGCCACGGGCCUUACAAAGUAGUAUAUCAAGGCAGCCGGGUUGCCA
rnacentral:ncRNA from 1 species